ACGAACGCUGGCGGCGUGCUUCACCCAUGCAAGUCGAACGGAAAGGCCCUGCUUGCAGGGUACUCGAGUGGCGAACGGGUGAGUAACACGUGGGUGAUCUGCCCUGCACUUCGGGAUAAGCCUGGGAAACUGGGUCUAAUACCGGAUAGGAGCCAUUUUUAGUGUGAUGGUUGGAAAGUUUUUUCGGUGUAGGAUGAGCUCGCGGCCUAUCAGCUUGUUGGUGGGGUAAUGGCCUACCAAGGCGGCGACGGGUAGCCGGCCUGAGAGGGUGGACGGCCACAUUGGGACUGAGAUACGGCCCAGACUCCUACGUGAGGCAGCAGUGGGGAAUAUUGCACAAUGGGCGCAAGCCUGAUGCAGCGACGCCGCGUGGGGGAUGACGGCCUUCGGGUUGUAAACUCCUUUCGCUAGGGACGAAGCUUUUUGUGACGGUACCUAGAUAAGAAGCACCGGCUAACUACGUG
rnacentral:rRNA from 1 species